rnacentral:miRNA from 1 species
UGUGAGAAAUUCUAGCAGAUGA